AUUUUGUGUGCUCCCAUCUGACAGCCCACACUUCUCCGCCGUGUGCCUUGGCCGCAGGAUACGGAGCACUAAGAAGAAAGACCGUAGGAUAAACUCUCAUUUUCCCAGUCGGUUGGGGAAGGAGGUGAAAAAGCCACGUUAGAAACUGAAAGGUAAGCGAGCAGCCUUUUCCAGGCACUGACUUCUGCAUCGAUGUGAGUCCCUAAGAUACGACAGUUAAAUUCGGCGCAUUACCUCGCGGGGGCGAUUUAUUGGCUCCCUCUCCGAGGGUUCUUGGUCGGUGCAAUGUGUAAGUCCUCAGAUGUCAAGUCUUGCCUGGAAAGCAGGCUGCAGCAAGGAUGCGAGGCUGGCAGCCAAGGUCCAGGACAGCCUUUGCCAAUGCCAGGGAUGAAUGAAGUCAGUAUGCAGGAGAAUCAUAGGGUCAGGAGAGGCGAAACCAGCCGGCAUACACUCUUCCUCCCAAGCCAGGAUGAGAGCCCAAGGACAUAGCCUGGGGGAUCAGAGUGCCCAACGUGGCUCCGUGUGGGGGCUGGAAAACCACGUGAACUUGCCACGGAGGAAAAAGACAGGGGCUGCCCCUCACCCGUGUUUAUGUACAUCCCUCCACGCUAGAGGCAGCCAGGAGAUAAUUAUGGAAGUGAAAGUACGCAUGAAAUCUGCAGCAGUCAUAGAAGUGUGCUAGAAACCAAACGUCCCCUUUUCCUAAAAUGUUGCCAAGAAAGAAGCACCCAGGAUCUGACCCACAGUGUGAAUGCUGAACUGAUUUGGCACAAGUAAUUUAGAUUCAAAAAGGCCACCCUUGGACCACUCUUUCGGCUGGGACAGAACUACUGGAAAUCACACCAGCUACCUUCUAUUGAACCCUUACUAAGAAUGACAAACUAAGCUGAAGGACACUGGCUUCUGUCAUUUAAUCCCAACAGCAACCUUGUGACUUAGAAACUAUAGGGUUCCUUUUUCCAGAUCAGGAAAGCCAAAGAGGUGACAUUACUUGCUCAGGGUCACAAAGCCUGGAGGCAGCAGAGUUAGUCCCGGGCUCCAGGACCACUACCUUCUUCCUUAAAUGACACAGAAGAAAGGGCUUGGUUAAGAAAACAAGCUGUCCACCUCAGCAGACCCAAGGCAACAACAAAAAGCAAGGACCUCAAAGACAUGUCUCUCAAGACUAUUCUAGAAGCCUCUGCUUCCUCAGUCUCUCAGGAAGACAGUACCUGUACAACGUCAGUGUUUCUGACCUUACUACUUUCUUCACGGCAUCUUUAACACCCAGGGAAGAAAGGUGAUUAGAGUGUAAAUAUACAAUCACAUAAAUAAAGGGCCAGAUCUUCCCUUGGCUGUGGCCACACCCUCAUUUUCCCGGCCAUUUUUCAGCGUUUCUUUACCCUACGGGGCCUGCCUGGGGCCACACGGUGAGUGAUGGCCUUCUGUUCCCUGGUGAAUGGCUCUUUGCAUGGACAUGAAUGGAAGGCCAAGGGCUGUCGAUGUGGGCCUGCCAAUUCACCGAGGACUCAUCUCUCCAAUGUCUGAGCUGUAAGACAUCUCAAAGAUGGUUUAGUCCUUCUAUUUAUCUUCUAAAUUCGACACUAGAGAAAAGCAGACACGGCGCCUCACAGUCACACAGCAAGGAAGGAGUAAAGGCCCGCUCAGGACGCACAGAAUAGGAUCCCCCUGGGGACUUGUGGCCAAGUCCUGGUGUUCUUCACGUGGCUCAGGAACCACGGCUGUGGUGGACAUGCGUAAGUGGUGGCCGAGCUCCCUGCCUGUCUCCAUCUUGCUCUAAAACGCAGCAUUGGGAGCCACAGGUUUUGGAAUCCGGCACACCCAGGCUGACACGCCGUCGGCCAUUUUAUUUUGGGGCCACCGGGGGCCAAUUAACCUCUCUCAACUCAGAUCUGUCGUCUGUAAAAUGGGGACCCCAGCACUGCCUAUACCCAACAGGGUCACGUCACGGGGAAGUGGGACACUGCAUAGAGCCAGAGCUUUUGGUGUUCUGGGCGAACAGUGUAAAAACCAAUACCCAAUCACAAUCACCACUACUACCAUUUUCUAUUCAGCAGUCUUUUGGAAUAUCUCCCAAUACGUGGGUACAAAGGAGAGAGGUGAGAAUGGUACAAGCCUCCUCUGUGCUUGCCACGGGAUUGUUCAUGAAGGCGGUCUGGAAGACAGGGGGACAGUGGGUGAGAUAGUUGUACCAGGAUCCUUACUCUCAGCUGUUGCAAAGCUCAGCCUUGAAAAUCUUUGACUGACCUUGAUGGCUUCCUGGAAUCCCACACAAUAUUUAAUGGGAAAUUCAAUUCUCCAGAGAGAACUGUUUCCUGAUAGCUAAACAGCAUCAUUCCAUGGGAUGGAAUUGUAACUGUGACCUCAACUUUGACUUUUGAUUAGGACUCCUCCUUCACCUCACCAGAUGUCUCUUCAGGCCUUCUCAACCUUGGCACUAUUUCAACAUUUUGGCACCUCCUCCCUGACAUCAUGUUCCUGACCCACCACCACUAAGAGGUUCCCGGCUAUUUCACAGCUGAUGACGAGAGGGAAAUCAUGAUUUCACCAACAGAGUUCAAACUGCAAUGAAAUACUUCAGUGCACAGCCAACCUGAGAGUGAACAUAACAAAUUAAUCAGAACUUUUAAAAAAGAGACCACCAGCAUGGUUUCGAGUUUAAUUCAGAUGUCACCCUAAAGGAAAAAAUAACAACAACAGCUAUCCGGCCACUGGAAAAGAGUAUCGAUGACAUCAUCACUUGAUCUGCACCCAUAUUAUUGCAUACAUUUUAAGUUCAAGGGGGUGUCCGUGUGGGCCAUGAAUGUGAAUAAGUCCAUAAGGGCUUUCUUAACACUGGGAAGGCUAAGUACUGCCAAGCUAAAUGAUGAGAAUCACAGUGAUGGAGGAGACAUUGCCUCAACCCUGAUUCUUCCGAAGUGUCUUUCAAACACAGCCCCUUAAAGUUAAUCACCCCAACCUUUACCUACAGGGCUCAGUGAAGAAUAUGAAAAGCUGCCUUCCUGAAACUUCCUUCAAAGAGGGAAUGAUCUCCUGGAAUUCAAGCUUCUACAAGACGACUACCUGGUGUUUCCCAUUUUUGACUUCUCCUAAAAAGCAUCAAUCAAGCCUUGCCCUUUCAGUCCACUGAACACAUAAACACUCUUUCUCCUUAACUGAACUUACUGCCACGAUGAACUUGAACUCUAAGACGCACAAGAGGAGAGUUGUUUUAACAGCUGCUUUUACACGGAGGCCCUGGAGUUACUACUCUCAAGACAGCUGGUUCUGAUAAGCCUCUCUUUGCACUGUCCUGUUUUUUCUAAUGCCCAGCUGUCAGAGAACACCCACUGCAGUGCUCCAAAACAAAGGCACAAAGCAGAAGAAAGGCAGGAGAAUGGUACUCACUUGGAUAUAAGGGCAUCCUACCUAGGGACCCUUUUUAUAAGCUGGCAUAGGGUUUUUCUCUCCAGUUUACUUGAAUAAGUUUAUAAAUUUCUUGGCUAGUUGAAUAUUAAUUGCUUAAGAUGUCCUGUUGUCUGAGGUUGCCCUGUCCAAUAUGUAGCCACCAGCUACAGGUGGCUAUUUAAAUUUAGAGUAAUUAAAAUUAAAUACAAUGUAAAGUGCGGUCUCCCUGUUGCCCUUAGCCACAUUUCAAGGGCUUUGCAUUAGCCACAUGGGUCUAGUAGCUUCCAUAGUGGAAAGCAAAAAUAGAAAACAUUUCCAUCAUUGUAGAAACUUACUGGAUUGCAUUGGCCAAGGCAUAUCCUCUUUCUAAUAGGAAAUAGGGGAUGCAGAUCUGCCUACAAAUAAUGGUUUUGUAGGCUCGGCCUGUAUUGAUUACUUUCCAUACUACUUCCUGUACACUUUUUUUUUUUUUUUUGGCUGCCGAUGUUCCAUUUUAUAAAUUCUUGGAAAGGGUAGUGGUGGUCUUUAAAACCACGCAUGAAAAUGAUCCCACUUUGGAGGAAAUAAAACAACAAGAAGCAAAGGUGGUGGCAUGGCAA